GUGUGCGAGGUAGUGUCAGUGCCCCGGAACUGCUUAUUUUCUUCUGAACCUGGUGUACAAGACUGCCCGGAUACAGCUGGCGUCUGCAAUGUUGUAGGCCACAUGACGCUGCCCUUACAACUUCAACUUCUGGAAUGGGACCUUGCCGAAAUUGAAUGGAGUCACGCCCUCGUCGCGCGUUGGAGGAGAAUCCAAACACACGUGGCCUUCUUCUUGGACCUGCCUUGGCUUGAGUUUUACUCAGUUCCAAGGUUCAUCAGAGUGUCUUCCCCGGCGGGGCGGCGGGGCUCAGAAGGGCGCCGCCUCCCUCGCCCGCCCCUCACUGCUGGGAGCUUGAGACUUUAAACGGCGGCCACAGGAAGACAGGCAUUUAGAUACUAAGAACAAAUGCUGGUAUCAAUACAGCCACACGUGCAACAUUUUAGAACGCUCCACCACCACCACCACCAUCACCGCCACCACCACCACCACGACUUCUUUCCAUUGCUGCGAUGAAGGUAUGUGUCAUUGCCCUUAUUGUGUUCGGUCAAAUAUUGCUCGGCGGCGGAGUGGUGUCCAGCCUCGGCCCUGACAGCGUGGGUGAGAUGCGGGCUACUCUUCGGCGGGCGGGAAGCGAUUAAUCACGCGGUCAAUACUUGGAUAGGGGCGUAGCGGACCAAGCGGGCAGCGAGGGAGACGAGCUCGAAGGGAUAAGGAAUUGAAAUUGUUACGGUCCGUUUGGGUUAGACUUCUUGCUAUAUAUAAAACCAAGUGGACAGCAAGGGAUAUGUGUUCAAGAGGAUAAGGCAUUGAAAGUACUACGGUUCGUGUGGGUUAGACUUUUGUAUGGUAUGGUACCGGAAAGUAUUUGCUUGAUAUAAAGUAGCACGAAACCAAUAAAGGAAGAAAGUUAAAGAGAUUGAACGAUUAAAGAAUGAAAUGAAUGAGUGACUGAAAGAAAUAGGGAUGAAAAGAAUUAAAAAAGAGAAAUCAGAAGGAAUUGAUGAAUGAAAGAAAAAAAAGAUCUUGAGAGAAAAGAGAAACGGAAAGAAAACGAAGAAAGAAAUAACAGAGUAGAAAGAAAGAAUGAAUGGCAGAGUGAAUAACUAAAUGGAAAGAGACAAAAAGAAAAAGAAAAAUAGAAGUUAAGAGUUAGAGAAUGGAGGAAGUAAUAAUAGGAGAAGAAAGAGAGUAUUGAUGGAUGAAUAGAUGACUGAAUGGAAGGAAAGAAAACACAGAAGAGAUGGUGAGAGUGAGAGAACAGAAGGUGAAAGAAAAGAUAGACUAGAAGAAUGAGGUUAAAUGUUUGCAUGUCUAUAUUUCUCUGUUUUUCAUUAUAUUGAAGGAAAGAAAACACAGAAAAGAUGGUGAAAGUGAAAGUAAACACAGAAGAGAUGGUGAAAGUGAAAGAAAACACAGAAGAGAUGGUGAAAGUGAAAGAAAACACAGAAGAGAUGAUGAAAGUGAAAGAAAACACAGAAGAGAUGAUGAAAGUGAAAGAAAACACAGAAGAGAUGGUGAAAGUGAAAGAAAACACAGAAAAGAUGGUGAAAGUGAAAGAAAACACAGAAGAGAUGGUGAAAGUGAAAGAAAACACAGAAGAGAUGGUGAAAGUGAAAGAAAACACAGAAGAGAUGGUGAAAGUGAAAGAAAACACAGAAGAGAUGGUGACAGUGAAAGAAAACACAGAAGAGAUGGUGAAAGUGAAAGAAAACACAGAAAAGAUGAUGAAAGUGAGAGGACAGAAGGAAAUAGUGAACGUGAAAGAAAAGAUAGACUAGAAGAAUGAGGUUAAAUGUUUGCAUGUCUAUAUUUAUCUGUUUUUCAUUAUAUUGAUUUUGCUUCAGUUUCUUUUUUUUUAUUUGCUUUUUGUGUCGUGCAUUGCCCCGAAAGGAGGGUCUUAAAUAAUCAAUCAAUCAGUCAGUCACUCAAGUAUUCUUCGUAAAGUCUGCAAGCUUUUUGGCUCCUAUGAUUAGUUUCCCGUCCAGAGUCUUCAUUCUUCUUCCCGAAUAUUUAUCUUGGAGGAGGAGGAGGAGGCGUCACGGAGCGUCCUCACCGCCUGUAGCGAGGGCCGGGCCGCGGGGAGCAGGAUAAACGCGGCGGGCAUGCAGACAGUUUAUCGUCGCUGCUGCCGUACGUCAGGCCGCCGGCGAGGGAGUCAACAAGCGGUUUAGGGGAUAACAUUCGGCUUUUCCUCGAUAAAUAACAACAUAUUCCCCUCGUGUUGUUACCUCCCAUGGUGAUAAACUUGCAUAACGAAUGUAGGUCUCGCAAGAAAUAGGAAUAAUGUUGUCAUCGAUAAAUGUGUUUCUGUCACCUUUGUUUAGUAUCGGUAACAAGAAACUGGUGUAUAUCAUGAGUAUAAUAAGUAGCUGGUGUGGAUAUUGCCAUUUUCUUCAGUAAAGGUAACAUUUAG